AAAUAUAAUUGGUAAAUUAAUUAACCUCAAAUUAACUUGGCAGGGCCUAAAAAGAGAAAUCAGCCCAACUCUUUAAUCGCAGCCCAAUUUUAUUCCCUAACCCUGCAGAAAAGCCUCCAUCUUCCUCCCUUCUCUCUUUCUCUGCUUACACACCAGCCCACAGAAUUCUCUCUCUCCCCUCCUCAAUUUUGUUAUGUGCGCCGCUCCUCUGCACUCACCUCUAUCGCUAACCGACCAUAGCCCAAACACCUUCCUUCCUCUAAAAAAGGAAAAGAACUCAUGUUCAUAUCCAAUCUCCCAACUUCAAAAUUCCUGAAAUAAAAGGUUAGAUACACUCUAAAAGUAGCAAAAGUGAUCAAAUUGGACGUUAAUUAGAGAUUGUAAUUCCUCUUCGAACAGCCUCAGCCUUUCAUUUCAUAUGGUUCUGCUUCGCUGUUGCCCUCUCCGUCAGCCUUGGAUGUCAUGGCCUAAGGUAUAGCGCAUGGGCAGCGUUCUAAAGAUUGCACUACAGCUGGAUGACUAACAUACUCCAUUUUUAUCACUUUCCCGCCAAAAUGCUGCCAGAGAGUGGUUCCUUUUCUAGGCAGAGAGUAGCUUUUUUUUUGCUGCAGAGAGUGGAAGUUGUUGUGUUCUAAUAGGGUUUUAGGCUGGCUUUUAUUUCACUGAGAUGCUAUGUAGAAGAAUAGGAACUAGUAAAUCAAGAAUGACACCUUUCAUAACCUUCCUCGACAAUCUUCAUCCCAGUUUCUCUAACUCGUGCACCAAGGUCAGAUGUAAUAUCCGAGAUUUUGUGGUUUUUGGUUCUUUAAAUUAAUGAAUGUCUUAUGUGUUGUGCUUGAUAUAUGGUGUGGAAAUAUUAAUUGCUUUACACUAUUGUUGCGGAUGGGGUGUUUUUACCUAGCAUUAAAAGUGAUUAACUAAUUAAGCUAGAAUUAAAAUCCUAAAUAACAAAUUAAAUUCCUCCCUCCCUAAUUCUCUCGGCUUUUCAAAAAAAAAAAAAAACCCCUCCCCCUCUCCCCACUAAUUUCUCAACCUCCCCCACUCCCUCUUAACCGAUUCUUUUCCCCUUUUCCAAUCUCUUUCCCUCUUCGGUCUCUCUCAUUCUCUCGCUCGCUCUCUCUCUCGCAAAGUUACUCUCUCUCUGGUAAGUCUCCCUUCUUCUCCCUCUCGGUUUUUACCUUCCCUCUUACUCCCUCUCAUUGAUUCCUGAUUUCAUUAAGGUAGCAAACUCUCGCGUACCGUUUUGAAAUCGGAGUAGGGAAGCUUUGACCUACGUUUCGAACUAUUCGGAGAAAGGUAACCCCUAACCCUUGUUAAUUUUCGAAACCUCAUGCAUAUAGGACGUUUUGGAGGGUUUAGGUGCUGAAUAGGUUGUGGGAUGAUGUGUCUGUGUGAAGCAUGUCUUUGUUGGUAACUGACAGUGGGUUCCGACCCCUUUUUAACUAAGCAAACGAUCUCCGUUGGGUACGAAUUUUGAACUGU